UGAGUAACGCGUGAGUAACCUGCCCACAAGAGGGGGAUAACGUCUGAAAAAGACGCUAAUACCGCAUAACAUAUCGAAGCCGCAUGACUUUGAUAUCGAAAGGAGGAAUCCGCUUGUGGAUGGACUCGCGUCCGAUUAGCUUGUUGGCGGGUAACAGCCCACCAAGGCGACGAUCGGUAGCCGGACUGAGAGGUGAACGGCCACAUUGGGACUGAGACACGGCCCAGACUCCUACGGGAGGCAGCAGGUGGGGGAUAUUGCGCAAAGGUGGGGGAAACCCUAACGCAGACAACGCCGCGUGAAGGACGAAGGUCUUCGGAUUGUAAACUUCUUUUGUUAAGGACGAAGAAAAUGACGGUACUUAACGAAUAAGCUCCGGCUAACUACGUGCCAGCCGCCGC
rnacentral:rRNA from 1 species